rnacentral:lncRNA from 1 species
AUCUUUUAAUAUUUGUGGAAAUCUUUUUAAAAAUAGAAAAUGGACCCAAUUUAAUGGAUAUCAAUCAACAAAGAGGUAUACAGACGAGGAGGCAUAGAAAGGUAUUGGUAUGUUAUGCAGAUCACAUUUACCAUCCUCCUCCCUUACCUCUUCAAUAAAAAUCACAUAGGCCUCUACAUUAUGGACAAGGUAUGUGUAUGAAAACCAAUUUCAAAAGUGUUUUUCACAUUUACCACAAAAACCAAGGUAUGAAUACUGUCGUGUGCAUGUUUUGUUAAUCAUCUGUAUAAUUACUAUUUUUGAAUUCACAGACUUCACCCUCCCUACACCUCUGAUUAAUAUAACAGGAAACCUGUUUGAUCACCAUGUACUGCAAAAUCAUUCUGGCUAUGGAUACGGAGAACAUCAACACAUUAACAUCAACACGUCAGAGGAUAAACCGAUUGGACUUGGGGCUCUGCUGGGAGUUUACCUCAUACUUAGAUUUUCUAUUCUGCUUUGCCACUAAAAUCAUAAUAAACACUG